GGAAUAUUGCGCAAUGGCCGAAAGGCUGACGCAGCGACGCCGCGUGAGGGAUGAAGUCCGUUAGGAUGUAAACCUCUUUUGCAGGGGAUGAAUGUUCCCGAUUUAUCGGGACUUGACCGUACCUUGCGAAUAAGGAUCGGCCAACUACGUGCCAGCAGCCGCGGUAAUACGUAGGAUCCGAGCGUUGUCCGGAAUUACUGGGUGUAAAGGGCGUGUAGGUGGGCUUCUAAGUCGGUGGUGAAAUGCUGCAGCUCAACUGCAGAACUGCCUCCGAUACUGGGAGUCUUGAGUGCGGCAGAGGGAGAUGGAAUUCAUGGUGUAGCGGUGAAAUGUGUAGAUAUCAUGAAGAACACCGGUAGCGAAGGCGGUCUCCUGGUCCGUUACUGACACUGAGGCGCGAAAGCGUGGGGAGCAAACAGGAUUAGA
rnacentral:rRNA from 1 species